rnacentral:rRNA from 1 species
CCUACGGGAGGCAGCAGUGGGGGAUAUUGCACAAUGGGGGGAACCCUGAUGCAGCGACGCCGCGUGGGUGAAGAAGCGCCUCGGCGCGUAAAGCCCUGUCAGCAGGGAAGAAAAUGACGAUACCUGAAGAAGAAGCCCCGGCUAACUACGUGCCAGCAGCCGCGGUAAUACGUAGGGGGCAAGCGUUAUCCGGAUUUACUGGGUGGAAAGGGGGCGCAGACGGCGAUGCAAGCCAGGAGUGAAAGCCCGGGGCCCAACCCCGGGACUGCUCUUGGAACUGCGUGGCUGGAGUGCAGGAGGGGCAGGCGGAAUUCCUGGUGUAGCGGUGAAAUGCGUAGAGAUCAGGAGGAACACCGGUGGCGAAGGCGGCCUGCUGGACUGCAACUGACGUUGAGGCCCGAAAGCGUGGGGAGCAAACAGGAUUAGAUACCCUAGUAGUC